AGCAGUCGCCGCGGGAAUACAGAGGGUGCAAGCGUUAAUCGGAAUUACUGGGCGUAAAGCGCGCGUAGGUGGUUUGUUAAGUUGGAUGUGAAAUCCCCGGGCUCAACCUGGGAACUGCAUCCAAAACUGGCAAGCUAGAGUAUGGUAGAGGGUGGUGGAAUUUCCUGUGUAGCGGUGAAAUGCGUAGAUAUAGGAAGGAACACCAGUGGCGAAGGCGACCACCUGGACUGAUACUGACACUGAGGUGCGAAAGCGUUGGGAGCAAACAGGAUUAGAUACCCCCGUAGUCCCUGUCUCUUAUAC
rnacentral:rRNA from 1 species